rnacentral:rRNA from 1 species
GACGAACGCUGGCGGCGUGCUUAACACAUGCAAGUCGAGCGGAGCGGCGAACGGGUGAGUAACGCGUGAGUAACUGCCCCCCUCUCUGGGAUAACAGUUGGAAACGGCUGCUAAUACCGGAUAGUGGGGGAUGACUCGCGGCCUAUCAGCUUGUUGGUGGGGUAGUGGCCUACCAAGGCGACGACGGGUAGCCGGCCUGGGAGGGCGACCGGCCACAUGGGUCUGCGGGACGGCCCAGAGUCCUACGGGGGGCAGCAGGCGGGAAUAUGGCACAAUGGGGGAACCCCUGAGGCAGAAACGCCGCGGGCGUGAUGACGGCCUUCGGGUUGUAAACCGCUUUCGGCCAAUACGCGGUAGUGGCAGAAGAAGCACCGGCUAACUACGUGCCAGCAGCCGCGGUAAUUC